ACCCCCGUGUCCAGCUGACGGGGGCCGUCGGGCUGUGGGUUUCCCGCUGGGACUGGUUUCUCAGCCCGCUCUGCGGGGUCACGCGGAGCGCGGCGGUGGGGCUGCCCUCUAGCCCACCCCGGUGGUGCCUCUCGGUGGGCACCUGCCCUGCGUCCUCCGGGGUGGGAGCCCGCCCGGCCGACUUGGUUCACAUGUGGUCGCUCGUCAGCGAUCACACGGGUUACCGGCAGGAUGUGGUGCCUUUUCUCUGCUUUGAAAAGAGGCCGUGGUGUGCGGAAUGAACGUGAUACAAUAAAAGCAUGGAGGGGAGGCCACGAUUUUCAUCCCGGAGCUCUCUGACUUAGGUGGAGGCUCGGGCCAAGGUCUGUGCUGUAGCCCGUAGCAGAAGCUGCACUUCCGCUCCAGCACCGUUUGCUGAGAAGGGCGGUGAUCUGGCUGUUCCUUCGUCGAGAGCGAAUCGACCGUGUUCAGCUGGGCCGUGCGUGACCCGCGGAGAAGCGGACCGUGUGAGGACCUGCGCUGCACCGCUCCUCGCGGGGUCCCGUGUGCCCUCUGAACGCCGCCUGGCCCCGAGCGGACGGCAGAGGCGGCCGGGGCCGCAUUUCACUUUCCAGUCUUCACAGCGGACCGGUCCCGGGUGACCGGGAGGUCCCUCUUGGGAGUGCGUCCCGGACGCCCUCCAGGUGCCGCUGCCGGGCGGACCGCGCCGGACACUCGGAGCACUGUUGCCGGGGCCUCUGCCACUAAAACGGGAGCACGGCGUCCGGGCUCCUGUUCUCAAGACUCUGCGUGUGUUUGUCACGUUCCUCGUGGUGCGAACCUCUGCUGGGCGGCUCGGGGGCCGUCCGGGGAGGCCUGGGGGUCCAGGAGCCCAGCCACGGCCGCCUGGCCGGAGGCUCUCUGUGCUGGGUCCAUGCCUGAGCUCCCACGGGUGUUUUCCUGCUUCCGCCCCCAUCCCCCCGCCCCAACCAGACCACACGGGAGCUUCCCGGGGACCCCGCCCCCUCGGGACCUCUGGGUGCAAGGUGGGGGCACUGGAACGGUGCCCUUGAGCCCUGGCAGGUUGGCUCCACUGUAACCUCUCAGCGGGUGAGGUCUGGGCCCUCACAACACAGCGAACGGCCCCUCCUAUGAGGGAAACUCUCUCCUAGUUUCCAGGCCCGGUGGGUGGCCCGGGGAGACCUUCGCCCGCCCUGGAGGGCCUGCCCGGGGAGAGUCUCACGGCGCGCCUGCCCCGCUUCCUCGAGAAGCCGGAGCGUGUCUGUUGUUCCUUGUGGGCGUUCGGUGGCGGGUGUCCGUCUUCCACGCAAGCGGCUCCCUGCGGGGUGCGGGCUGGUGCUUCCGAGUCGGCGGCCGGGCUGGUCAGCGGCAGCGACGUCGUCGGCAGAGGAGAGCACGUCGCAGGGGUCGUGCGUUCAGGGUCUGAGGGUGACGUGGGCGUUCGGGGUGGAUGAGCUCCCACCCGCCCGGGCACUGGGUGGUCGGCAGAGCCAGUGACCGACCACGCUGCUCCCUGAGCUCCCGGCAGACGGCCAGCCAGGACGGAAGGUCAGACACUGAACACGGAGGUGGAUGCAGUUGUGAUGAGGCAGCUGCUCCCAAACCCACAAAGUGCUGAGGUCCCAGCGGGCACCUAGCUCGUUGCACAAAAGUCUGGUCGCUCACGGAAGGGGCACGACCUUCUGGUCUGAGGCCGGGGUCCUGCCCGCAGGCACCCAGCCAGGUGCCAGGUGCACUCAGAGCGGCGAGUAAGCGGGGGAGGGGGGCCCAAUGCGUGAACCGCACCACACGGCUCCUCACCCAUCGGAGAAAGGAGGUCGCUCCCACUGGGGGAGCAGCGGGGCCCGGGAGGGUGGUGGCCGUGGACACGUGCCCCUCAGGUCUCCCGAUGCCUGUCUGCUCCGCCCGCAACGCGCCCCCGUGGGUUUGUGCCCAGAGCUGCCUCCCCGGGGCGGUUCCCAGACGGGGCUAACCGACCCGGACACUGAGGCAGGUCCGUCCCGGGGACGCAGGGGCGCCUUGGACCGGCGACGUGGGCCGAGGAGGACUCCACACUGGCCUUGCUGAGUUUUCUUGCAAAUGCAACGGGUCCAAGCCCCUGCUCCCCUCCCUCCCUCCUUCCUUCCUCCCCGGGGUCAGCCCCGCACUGCAAGUUAAUGUCCCCUCCCCCUGUCCCCGCAGCUUUCCUGGCCCCAUUUCCCCUCCUUGCACCCCCCCACCCCCAAAUCUCUUUCAUCUCUAAGCCUGUCCGAGCUGCUUCUCCGAAGACCUGGACGCGUCACCAGCCGACCGCCGACAGCGGGCAGACUCACGGGGACUGGCGGGGAAGGGCGACACCUUCCGAAUUUACCGUGUCCAGAGCCCGUCCGCGGGACUGAGAGAGCAGCUGGGUGUCUGCUGGUCUGAAGGGCCCUUCCCUCUCACUGCCCAGUCAACUGUGGGCUGGCACCUCUGUAAAGUCUAGGAAAAAUGAUCAGAA